GGGCACAGGGAUAACUUUUUCUGGUUUUAAUAUUUUAUUUUAUCUUUUUUUUAGGGAAGUUCAUUGUGGAAAUUGGGAUGGACAGGGAGCUGGCUUCACCUGCAGAUGGAGAGAGCUUCAUCCUCAAACCGUGGGGGAUACCUAGCUAGGAGGAAGGACAUCCUUCACAUCAUGCAACUCCAUGGUUCCCAACUCUCUAUAUUUACACCUGGAUUCCCUGGCUGCCCUGGUCCUGUUAUAGCCACCUGCAGCAGCCACAGUUCAUCACUUACCCAAACAAGGAUUUCCCUGGCACACAGAGGGAUGGCUGCAGGGAGAGAGCCAGGCUCCUCAGUCAGCCCUUGGCCAGCAACUCUGCCUCCCCACAACAGCCUGGAGCUCCUGCCCAGUUGUCCUUUCUUCUGCUGGAUCUGGGGAAUUCAGCAUUCCAGGAGGCGCUUUACAGUUUCCAGAUGGUGAAACAACAGCUACAAAAAACCUCAAACCAAACCAAACCAAACAAAAAACCAA